UACGUAGGGUGCGAGCGUUGUCCGGAAUUAUUGGGCGUAAAGAGCUCGUAGGCGGUGUGUCGCGUCGGCCGUGAAAACCUGGGGCUUAACUCUGGGCGUGCGGUCGAUACGGGCAUCACUAGAGUUCGGCAGGGGAGACUGGAAUUCCUGGUGUAGCGGUGAAAUGCGCAGAUAUCAGGAGGAACACCGGUGGCGAAGGCGGGUCUCUGGGCCGAUACUGACGCUGAGGAGCGAAAGCAUGGGUAGCGAACCGG
rnacentral:rRNA from 1 species